UACGUAGGGUGCGAGCGUUGUCCGGAAUUACUGGGCGUAAAGCGCACGUAGGCGGCUUUGCAAGUUAGAGGUGAAAGCCCGGGGCUCAACUCCGGAAUUGCCUUUAAAACUGCAUCGCUAGAGUUGUGGAGAGGUAAGUGGAAUUCCGAGUGUAGAGGUGAAAUUCGUAGAUAUUCGGAAGAACACCAGUGGCGAAGGCGACUUACUGGACACAUACUGACGCUGAGGUGCGAAAGCGUGGGGAGCAAACAGG
rnacentral:rRNA from 1 species